GGGGGUGUAGCUCAGUUGGCUAGAGCACUAGCAUGGCAUGCUAGGGGUCACGGGUUCGAGUCCCGUCACCUCCA
rfam:Salinispira pacifica strain L21-RPul-D2, complete genome.